rnacentral:rRNA from 1 species
GACGAACGCUGGCGGCGUGCCUAACACAUGCAAGUCGAGCGAUGAAGCCUUCGGGUGGAUUAGCGGCGGACGGGUGAGUAACACGUGGGUAACCUGCCUCAAAGAGGGGGAUAGCCUCCCGAAAGGGAGAUUAAUACCGCAUAACAUUAGAUUGUCGCAUGACAGUUUAAUCAAAGCAGUAAUGCACUUUGAGAUGGACCCGCGGCGCAUUAGCUAGUUGGAGAGGUAACGGCUCACCAAGGCGACGAUGCGUAGCCGACCUGAGAGGGUGAUCGGCCACAUUGGAACUGAGACACGGUCCAGACUCCUACGGGAGGCAGCAGUGGGGAAUAUUGCACAAUGGGCGAAAGCCUGAUGCAGCAACGCCGCGUGAGUGAUGAAGGCCUUCGGGUUGUAAAGCUCUGUCUUCUGGGACGAUAAUGACGGUACCAGAGGAGGAAGCCACGGCUAACUACGUGCCAGCAGCCGCGGUAAUACGUAGGUGGCAAGCGUUGUCCGGAUUUACUGGGCGUAAAGAAUGCGUAGGCGGAUACUUAAGUCAGAUGUGAAAUACCCGAGCUCAACUUGGGUGCUGCAUUUGAAACUGGGUAUCUAGAGUGCGGGAGAGGUAAGUGGAAUUCCUAGUGUAGCGGUGAAAUGCGUAGAGAUUAGGAAGAACACCAGUGGCGAAGGCGACUUACUGGACCGUAACUGACGCUGAGGCAUGAAAGCGUGGGGAGCAAACAGG